GAUAUUUUUGCAAGCAAGCUGAAUGAGGGACUUGUCUUCUUCUUUCUUCGCCUAUUUUGACAUGGAAGACGUGUGUUGAAACGAGAUAAGUCAUUUCACCACCAACUCGGUGGUGUGUUCUGAUAGUGUUAUAAAGAUUCUAGCUACGGUGCUCACGGCAAAGAGCUUAUGACUCCCCCAAAGGUCUAUAUUUUAGAAGAAAGUAGACGGAAUUAUUUUCAGACAAGUGAACUUUCGCUUUCGGGAGCCCAGGAUUGAAUAUUGUGUAUGGACGGCCAGGGCGACGGAUGUUCUCGGAAAGCUUUGCCGUGGCUGUGCUGACUGUAGUUCUGGUGGCUUGCAUAUUAGCAUGUGCCAGAAAAAAGAC